GACGAACGCUGGCGGCGUGCUUAACACAUGCAAGUCGAACGGAAAGGCCCUGCUUUUGUGGUGUUCUCGAGUGCCGAACGCGUGAGUAACACGUGAGUAACCUGCCCUUGACUUUGGGAUAACUUCACGAAACUGGGGCUAAUACCGGAUAGGAGCUCCUGCUCCAUGGUGGGGGUUGGAAAGUUUCGGCGGUUGGGGAUGGACUCGCGGCUUAUCAGCUUGUUGGUGGGGUAGUGGUUUACCCAGGCUUUGACGGGUAGGCGGCCUGAGAGGGUGACCGGCGACCAUGGGCCUGAGGUACGGCGCAGACUGCUACGGGAGGCAGCAGGGGGGAAUAUUGCACAAUGGGAGGAAGUGUGAUGCAGCAACGUCGCGUGCGGGAUGACGGCCUUCGGGGUGUAAACCGCUUUCGCCUGUGACGAAGCGUGAGUGACGGUAAUGGGUAAAGAAGCACCGGCUAACUACGUG
rnacentral:rRNA from 1 species